rnacentral:lncRNA from 1 species
GACCUGUCUGUUUAAAUAUAGACCCCACCACGGACUGGCAACGUAUCUUUAAAAAAAAAAAAAAAAAAAACUCCUUCAGGCAUUUCAGUUGUGGCUUAGCAGUAUCAAACUAGUAUCCAUAAGGAUGUGUGUGGGCCCGCAUCCUUAUGGAUAGUAAGGCCCGGCUGCUCCGUGGGUUGAUCCAGCGUUGAUCCAGCGUUCACUGUAGGUAGCAGGUGUGGCUUGGAUCUGGCGUUGCUGUGGCUGUAGUGUAGGCCGGCAGCUACAGCUCCAAUUUGACCCCUAGCCUUGAGAACGUCCCUGUGCCACGGGUGCAACCCUAAAAAGAAAAAAAAAAUUCUUCAAACUAUUCCAGUAAUGCCUGAACAAGCUCGAUACAGCACAUGAACUAAUACAAGUGAAAUACCUGUGCAGGUGUUUGUAAUGCUGAGCACCGUCCCUCUUCAUCAGCGUUCGUCACUUUCUUCUCUUGGGCAGUUUACUCCUCUCCCAAGCUGUUUUCUUGUCUGUAAUGUGAGCCUGAUGCCCCGCUUUUUGUUUAUAUGUGGAAUCUAAAAAAAAUCAUACAGGAGUUCCCCUGGUGGCUCACUGGUAAUGAACCCGACUAAGAUCCAUGAGGACAAAGGUUCGCUCCCUGGCCUCACUCAGUGGGUUAAAGGAUGCUGCGAGGUGCGGUGUUGGUCGCAGAUGAGGCAUGGAUCCCAUGUGGCUGUGGCUGUGGCGUAGGCUGGCAGCUGCAGCUCUGAUUGGACCCCUAGCCUGGGAACUUCCAUAUGCUGCAGGUGCGACCCUAAAAAGAAAAAAAAAUUAUAUAGAGGAACUUAUUUACAAAACAAAAAUAGGUUCACAGAUAUAGAAAACAAACUUACAGUUCCCCCAGGGGAAGGGGAGGAGAGAAAAAUUAGGAGUUUGGAAUUAACAGAUGUAUAGUAAACAACAAAGUUCUGCUGGGUAGCACCGGGAACUGUAUUCAGUAUCUUGUAAUAACCUAUAACGGAAAAGACUCUGAAAAGUAUAUGUAUAUGGAACUGAAUCACUUUGCUGUGUACCUGAAACAUCGCAAAUCAACCACACUUCGAUUUUAAAAAAAUUUAAACGGUUGCACGGUGGGAAGGUAGGUACAUGAGGGCUGAGUGCAUUGCAUUUUUGCCUUGGAAAGAGGGGUUCACCAGCUUUCCCCCUCAUUUGGUUUCUCCUCCUUCUUGCAGCCCCUGGCACAGCCCAGAGCUGAGUGGAGCUGGCAGCUCCUGCUGGUGACUCCCAGCCAGGCCCAGCCCCAGAAGCCCGGAUGGGAGCUCACCUCCCCCACCUCGAGCCGAGCCCGGGUGGGUCUGGGUCUGAGUUCCAGGCCCGCUGAUCCUGGGUCUGAGCUUGUCUGAGAUCCAAGAAGGUUGGAGAACUGAGGAGGAGGGAGAGACCACUUGACCUGGCCGGCCUCAAACCUCGCCCAGCCCCUCCAGCUUCUCUCCCGCACACACACCUCUUCCUGAGGCACAGGCCUCUCCCCACAGCCCGGUGGCAACUUGCCUGGGGACUAAUAAGAGAGAAGACUAAGUCUGCCAGGCAGCGCUUUCAGGAGGCUGUCCCAGCUCCGCUCUGCUCUUUGACCGGGAUCCUGGUAGAUGUGUGGGGCUGACUUGGUAAAUAGCCUUUGUGAGCAGAAUAAUCCCUUGUGUGUCCUGGAAACUCCUGCUGUCCCCCCGCCCCUGCCCGAGGGCAGCACCCUCCUGGCAGGGUGAUGGGGAUGCCUUUGGCCUGGAGAUCUUAGGAAAACCUAGUUUCAAAGAGCCCUAGGCUUCCAACCCACUGGGGGCCAGGAGGGGAGGCUUUGCAGGUUUGGCGAACUUGUUGCAGCUCCGGGUGCUGCGAGAAGAAGUGGGAAUAGGAAGGAAAGUGGGGUGAGUGUGAGGCGGCUGAGCUGCGUGGUUCUGCCUAAAAGGCAACACAAUACGCUUCUGUUCGUCCUUUUUGAGGCUCUGAAGCAGAAAUCAGAGGAACAAAGAAAAGUAAGACCUCGCUUCAC